AGCCUCACAGGGGAUGGCAUUCCCCCUUGAACCGCCAUGUGGCUAAUGAUGCCUGCUUUUUA
ncrna:unclassified sequences Fluoride riboswitch